GCCGGGGUGGCGGAACUGGUAGACGCAGCAGACUUAAAAUCUGCUGAGGUUUUUCCUCGUGCCGGUUCGAGUCCGGCCCUCGGCACCA
rnacentral:tRNA from 5 species